rnacentral:rRNA from 1 species
UACGGGGGGGGCAAGCGUUGUUCGGAAUUACUGGGCGUAAAGGGCUUGUAGGUGGCCAACUAAGUCAGACGUGAAAUCCCUCAGCUUAACUGGGGAACUGCGUCUGAUACUGGAUGGCUUGAGUUUGGGAGAGGGAUGCGGAAUUCCAGGUGAAGCGGUGAAAUGCGUAGAUAUCUGGAGGAACACCGGUGGCGAAGGCGGCAUCCUGGACCAACACUGACACUGAGGAGCGAAAGCCAGGGGAGCAAACGGG